rnacentral:rRNA from 1 species
AUUGAACGCUGGCGGCAGGCCUAACACAUGCAAGUCGAGCGGAUGAGUGGAGCUUGCUCCAUGAUUCAGCGGCGGACGGGUGAGUAAUGUCUAGGAAUCUGCCUGGUAGUGGGGGACAACGUUUCGAAAGGAACGCUAAUACCGCAUACGUCCUACGGGAGAAAGUGGGGGAUCUUCGGACCUCACGCUAUCAGGUGAGCCUAGGUCGGAUUAGCUAGUUGGUGAGGUAAAGGCUCACCAAGGCGACGAUCCGUAACUGGUCUGAGAGGAUGAUCAGUCACACUGGAACUGAGACACGGUCCAGACUCCUACGGGAGGCAGCAGUGGGGAAUAUUGGACAAUGGGCGAAAGCCUGAUCCAGCCAUGCCGCGUGUGUGAAGAAGGUCUUCGGAUUGUAAAGCACUUUAAGUUGGGAGGAAGGGCAGUAAGUUAAUACCUUGCUGUUUUGACGUUACCAACAGAAUAAGCACCGGCUAACUUCGUGCCAGCAGCCGCCGUAAAAC